rnacentral:sRNA from 1 species
UACCAGUCACUUUCUGAGUCAUUAAAA